AGUAUUUUUUAAACUUUUCGUGUAGAAAUAACUAUUUUAUUUCUUUUUGGUUUUAGUCAGUGCUUUGGGGAACUCAUUUUUUAUUUUCUUGGGACUUUUAUAAUAAUUGGAUAGAGAAAUAAAGGAAACACGGAGAAAUAUUUAUGGUGUGCCACGGCAUUGUGAAACAACUACCUACUUUUGAUUUUCAAAUGGUGACCUAUAUAAAAAAUUCAAUAAAUAGACAGAGUAGUAGUUAAAAUAAAUUUUGGUGUUUAAAUUUUUAAUUUCCGUCAAUUUGUUGACGAUAUAUUCCACUUUUUAGUAUUGUUCGGGGGAGAGUAGAGUAGUCCAUUAUUAAAACGUCGCGCUCUGUGCCGUCACACAAAUGAUGCUCUACGCAAGGAGAGUAUCCUUCGACACAAACUUUAAAGUGGAAUAUACCGUCAACGAAUUGACG